GUUGCCCCUAGAGGCAUUGCAUGAGUGGUUACUGUAUCAUACGUGCGUCAGUAGGUGGCAGAGGGGAGAGAAGCUAUGUCUAAACUCAGUGUUCUGACCUGUGAACAUGUAGAUGAUUAGUAUUGACACU